rnacentral:rRNA from 1 species
GAGGGAAAGGCGAAAAGAACCCCGGCGAGGGGAGUGAAAAAGAACCUGAAACCGUGUACGUACAAGCAGUAGGAGCCCCAUCACUCAAGUGCCUCGCACUGAGUGAUGCAAGAACAUCACUGAAAAUAGCGCUGAAUUUGCUAACAAGGUUGGUCGAUUUUUUCAAGCCGUCGCGCAGUGUACCUAGAAGUACAGGAGCAACGGAAGUUAAAAAAUCGGGCAAGAUUGAACGCAAAGGCAAGCGGGACAUUUGAGGAUGGGGUGACUGCGUACCUUUUGUAUAAUGGGUCAGCGACUUAUAUUCUGUAGCAAGGUUAACUGUAUAGGGGAGCCGUAGGGAAACCGAGUCUUAACUGGGCGAAUGAGUUGCAGGGUAUAGACCCGAAACCCGGUGAUC